GACGAACGCUGGCGGCGUGCUUAACACAUGCAAGUCGAACGGAAAGGCCCUGCUUGCAGGGUACUCGAGUGGCGAACGGGUGAGUAACACGUGGGUGAUCUGCCCCGCACUUCGGGAUAAGCCUGGGAAACUGGGUCUAAUACCGGAUAGGAGCCAUUUUUAGUGUGAUGGUUGGAAAGUUUUUCGGUGUAGGAUGAGCUCGCGGCCUAUCAGCUUGUUGGUGGGGUAAUGGCCUACCAAGGCGGCGACGGGUAGCCGGCCUGAGAGGGUGGACGGCCACAUUGGGACUGAGAUACGGCCCAGACUCCUACGGGAGGCAGCGGUGGGGAAUAUUGCACAAUGGGCGCAAGCCUGAUGCAGCGACGCCGCGUGGGGGAUGACGGCCUUCGGGUUGUAAACUCCUUUCGCUAGGGACGAAGCUUUUUGUGACGGUACCUAGAUAAGAAGCACCGGCUAACUACGUG
rnacentral:rRNA from 1 species